CCUACGGGAGGCAGCAGUGAGGAAUAUUGGUCAAUGGGCGGAAGCCUGAACCAGCCAAGUAGCGUGCGGGAUGACGGCCCUACGGGUCGUAAACUGCUUUUGCACGGGGAUAACACCCUCCACUUGUGGAGGUUUGCAGGUACCGUGCGAAUAAGGGCCGGCUAAUUCCGUGCCAGCAGCCGCGGUAAUACGGAAGGCCCGAGCGUUAUCCGGAUUUAUUGGGUUUAAAGGGAGCGUAGGCGGGGCGUUAAGCGAGCCGUAAAAUCCCGGGGCUCAACCCGGGCCCGGCAGUGCAAACUGGACUGCUUGAGUGCGCGGCAGGCAGGCGGAAUUCGUGGUGUAGCGGUGAAAUGCAUAGAUAUCACGAGGAACCCCGAUUGCGAAGGCAGCAUACGGGAGUGCGACUGACGCUGAGGCUCGAAGGCGCGGGUAUCGAACAGGAUUAGAUACCCGAGUAGUC
rnacentral:rRNA from 1 species